rnacentral:rRNA from 1 species
GUGCCAGCCGCCGCGGUAAUACGAAGGGUGCAAGCGUUAAUCGGAAUUACUGGGCGUAAAGCGUGCGUAGGCGGUGAGUUAAGUCUGUCGUGAAAGCCCUGGGCUCAACCUGGGAAUGGCGAUGGAUACUGGCUCGCUAGAGUGUGAUAGAGGAUGGCGGAAUUCCCGGUGUAGCGGUGAAAUGCGUAGAGAUCGGGAGGAACAUCUGUGGCGAAGGCGGCCAUCUGGAUCAACACUGACGCUGAGGCACGAAAGCGUGGGGAGCAAACAGGAUUAGAAACCCCUGUAGUCC